UACGAAGGGGGCUAGCGUUGCUCGGAAUCACUGGGCGUAAAGGGUGCGUAGGCGGGUCUUUUAAGUCAGGGGUGAAAUCCUGGAGCUCAACUCCAGAACUGCCUUUGAUACUGAAGAUCUUGAGUUCGGGAGAGGUGAGUGGAACUGCGAGUGUAGAGGUGAAAUUCGUAGAUAUUCGCAAGAACACCGGUGGCGAAGGCGGCAUCCUGGACCAAUACUGACGCUGAGUGAGCGAAAGCCAGGGGAGCAAACGGG
rnacentral:rRNA from 1 species